rnacentral:rRNA from 1 species
GGUCUCACACUCCCGUCGUAUCAGCCUAACACAUGCAGUCGAACGGUACGGAAGCAGCCUGCUGCUUCGCUGACGAGUGGCGGACGGGUGAGUAAUGUCUGGGAAACUGCCUGAUGGAGGGGGAUAACUACUGGAAACGGUAGCUAAUACCGCAUAACGUCGCAAGACCAAAGAGGGGGACCUUCGGGCCUCUUGCCAUCGGAUGCGCCCAGAUGGGAUUAGCUAGUAGGUGGGGUAACGGCUCACCUAGGCGACGAUCCCUAGCUGGUCUGAGAGGAUGACCAGCCACACUGGAACUGAGACACGGUCCAGACUCCUACGGGAGGCAGCAGUGGGGAAUAUUGCACAAUGGGCGCAAGCCUGAUGCAGCCAUGCCGCGUGUAUGAAGAAGGCCUUCGGGUUGUAAAGUACUUUUCAGCGGGGAGGAAAGGCGAUAAGGUUAAUAACCUUGUCGAUUUGACGUUUACCCGCAGAAGAAGCACCGGCUAACUCCAUGCCAGCAGCCGCGGGUAAUACGGAGGGUGCAAGCGUUUAAUUCGGGAAAUUACUGGGCGUAAAAGCGCAACGCCANNGCCGGUCCCGUCCAAAGUNCGGCAUGUGAACAUUCCCCCGGUGGCUNCAACCCUGGGAAACCUGGCAUUUCGAAAACUUGG